ANNGCGCGGCCUACCAUGCAAGUCGAACGAUGAAGACUGGUGCUUGCACUGGUUGGAUUAGUGGCGAACGUGGUUGAGUAAUACGUGAGUAACCUGCCUUUGACUCUGGGAUAAGCCUGGGAAACUGGGUCUAAUACCGGAUAUGACAAGGAACCGCAUGGUUUUUUGUGGAAAGGGUUUGUACUGGUUUUAGAUGGGCUCACGGCCUAUCAGCUUGUUGGUGGGGUAAUGGCUCACCAAGGCGACGACGGGUAGCCGGCCUGAGAGGGUGACCGGCCACACUGGGACUGAGACACGGCCCAGACUCCUACGGGAGGCAGCAGUGGGGAAUAUUGCACAAUGGGCGCAAGCCUGAUGCAGCGACGCCGCGUGAGGGAUGACGGCCUUCGGGUUGUGAACCUCUUUCAGCAGGGAAGAAGCGAAAGUGACGGUACCUGCAGAAGAAGCGCCGGCUAACUACGUGCCAGCAGCCGCGGUAAUACGUAGGGCGCGAGCGUUGUCCGGAAUUAUUGGGCGUAAAGAGCUUGUAGGCGGUUUGUUGCGUCUGCUGUGAAAGACCGGGGCUUAACCCCGGUAUUGCAGUGGGUACGGGCAGACUAGAGUGCAGUAGGGGAGACUGGAAUUCCCUGGUGUACGCGGUGAAAUGCGCAGAUAUCAGGAGGAACCACCGAUGGCGAAGGCAGGUCUCUGGGCUGUAACUGACGCUGAGAAGCGANAGCAUGGGGAGCGAACAGGAUUAGAUACCCUGGUAGUCCAUGCCGUAAACGUUGGGCAC
rnacentral:rRNA from 1 species